rnacentral:rRNA from 1 species
AAUCUUGGACAAUGGGCGAAAGCCUGAUCCAGCGACGCCGCGUGGGUGAUGAAGGCCUUCGGGUCGUAAAGCCCUGUGGGAAGGAAAGAAAACGGUGGGUUCAAAUAGGUCCCAUCCUUGACGGUACCUUCUCAGAAAGCACCGGCUAACUCUGUGCCAGCAGCCGCGGUAAGACAGAGGGUGCAAACGUUGCUCGGAAUUACUGGGCGUAAAGCGCGUGUAGGCGGGUCGGAAAGUCGGGCGUGAAAUCCCCAGGCUCAACCUGGGAACUGCACUCGAAACUUCCGAUCUAGAGUGGUGGAGAGGGAAGUGGAAUUCCUGGUGUAGAGGUGAAAUUCGUAGAUAUCAGGAGGAACACCAGUGGCGAAGGCGGCUUCCUGGACACCAACUGACGCUGAGACGCGAAAGCGUGGGGAGCAAAC